rnacentral:rRNA from 1 species
UAGGGAAUAUUGCACAAUGGGGGAAACCCUGAUGCAGCGACGCCGCGUGAGUGAUGAAGGCCUUCGGGUCGUAAAGCUCUGUCGUAUGGGACUAACAAAAUGAAGGUACCAUGCAAGAAAGGAUCGGCUAACUUCGUGCCAGCAGCCGCGGUAAGACGAGGGAUCCUAGCGUUGUUCGGAAUUAUUGGGCGUAAAGCGGGUGUAGGUGGACUUAUAAGUCAGGUGUGAAAUCCCAGGGCUCAACCCUGGAAGUGCACUUGAUACUGCAAGUCUUGAGUGUGGUAGAGGCUAUUAGAAUUCUUGGUGUAGUGGUGAAAUACGUAGAUAUCAAGAGGAAUACCGGAGGCGAAGGCGGAUAGCUGGGCCAACACUGACACUGAGACCCGAAAGCGUGGGGAUCAAACAG